ACGAACGCUGGCGGCGUGCUUAAAACAUGCAAGUCGAACGGGGGCUUCGGCCCCAGUGGCAAACGGCUGAGUAACGCGUGGGUGACCUACCUGGAAGUGGGGAAUAACUGCCCGAAAGGGUGGCUAAUACCGCAUGUGAUGAUCGGACCGAUCCGGUCAUGAAAGUCUUCGGACGCUUCGAGAGGGGCCCGCGUUCGAUUAGCUAGUUGGUGGGGUAAUGGCCUACCAAGGCGACGAUCGAUAGCUGGUCUAAGAGGAUGAUCAGCCAGACUGGGACUGCGGCACGGCCCAGACUCCGACGGGAGGCAGCAGUUAGGAGUUUUGGGCAAUGGGCGAAAGCCUGGCCCAGCAACGCCGCGUGGGUGAUGAAGGCCUUCGGGUCGUAAACCCCUUUUGCCGGGGAAGAUAAUGACGGUACCCGGCGAAUAAGCCACGGCUAACUACGU
rnacentral:rRNA from 1 species